rnacentral:rRNA from 1 species
GCGAUUGGGCAAGUUUGAUCAUGGCUCAGGAUGAACGCUGGCGGCGUGCUUAACACAUGCAAGUCGAACGAUGAACCCCGCUUGCGGGGGGAUUAGUGGCGAACGGGUGAGUAACACGUGAGUAACCUGCCCUUGACUCUGGGAUAAGCCUGGGAAACCGGGUCUAAUACCGGAUAUGACCCCUUGCCGCAUGGUUGGGGGUGGAAAGCUUUAUUGUGGUCUUGGAUGGACUCGCGGCCUAUCAGCUUGUUGGUGAGGUAAUGGCUCACCAAGGCGACGACGGGUAGCCGGCCUGAGAGGGUGACCGGCCACACUGGGACUGAGACACGGCCCAGACUCCUACGGGAGGCAGCAGUGGGGAAUAUUGCACAAUGGGCGCAAGCCUGAUGCAGCGACGCCGCGUGAGGGAUGACGGCCUUCGGGUUGUAAACCUCUUUCAGUAGGGAAGAAGCGGAAGUGACGGUACCUGCAGAAGAAGCGCCGGCUAACUACGUGCCAGCAGCCGCGGUAAUAGCU